CAGGGAGACAACAAAAUGUUUAAUAUUAUUAUUUUGUCACCUUAGGUCGAUCGGUAUCUCACAUCCUUAAUUUAUUAAGGAUUUCAUUUCCUAAGUUUUUCUAGGUCACACCCAUUUUUUUCCUGGGCCAUUAGCUCAGGUGGUUAGAGCGCACCCCUGAUAAGGGUGAGGUCCCUGGUUCAAGUCCAGGAUGGCCCAUAUCUCUAUGUUGGGGGUAUAGCUCAGUUGGUAGAGCGCCUGCUUUGCAAGCAGGAUGUCAGCGGUUCGAGUCCGCUUACCUCCACUGAUUACCACCUCUUACAUAAAUUGCAGAAAGGAAAUUUUUUGAGUUGUGAUCAAAUUCUGAACGAAUCUAGCUUCCUAAUGAAAUCAUUAAGAUGCUGGACUCAUUGAAUUAAUUUCAUUGUUUUCAGAGAACCUUGACAACUGCAUAGAUUAUUUUUAAAGACAAUUAGCAUCUUUAAUGAUGCAGAUUUAUUAUUUGUGCGAAUGCAUUAAUAACAAUUCUAUUAAGCUGAUGCUUCAAUUUUGAAGUUAUU
rnacentral:tRNA from 1 species